rnacentral:rRNA from 1 species
GGCUGAAAUUACGCCUUCAUGAAGCUGGAAUUGCUAGUAAUGGCAGGUCAGCAUACUGCCGUGAAUACGUUCCCGGGCCUUGUACACACCGCCCGUCACACCAUGAGAGUUGGAAAUACCCGAAGCCUGUGAGCUAACUUUUAGAGGCAGCAGUCGAAGGUAGAAUCAAUGAUUGGGGUGAAGUCGUAACAAGGUACC